AGACCUUGACAGUUGUAACCGAUAGACUGGGCUGGGGCAACGCUGAUGAAAGGCAAAUUCCUGAGAGAAAAAUCACCCAGAUUUUUCAGUGCCUUCUCUAGCUUUCUAGAAGUUGUUAUGAGUGGACCUGACUACCUAGAGAGAGUAAUACAGAAGCUCCGUGCCGAUCACAGCUACCUCAUUACCAUGUUCCUCCAAGAUGGCCGCCCCUGAGGAGAAUCAUCAACUGGGCUUUACGGAAGAGAGAAAUCCAAACGACCAUCAGCAACAAAUGAAAGACUGAAGUUGAAAGGCAAGUCUUCAGAUUUGAAUUUCUUGCAGGCACUACUGUCUCUUUUAGAGAAAAGCAGGUUCUUCAUGCACAUCUCUUCAGGCAAAUAGAUGCCCAGGAGCAUGGCCGGCUUACUGGUUCCUCAACAGCCAAAUUUCAACAUAGACCAUGUCUUAUGUGACUUU
ensembl:lncRNA LINC01206 long intergenic non-protein coding RNA 1206